GGUGGCUCUGAGCUGGCUCAGGACUCACGGAGCAGGCGGUGGAAAGUAGAUGGCUCAGAGAUAGUAGGAACUGCAGAUGUUGGAGAAUCCGAGACAACAAGGUGCAGGGCUGGAUGAACACAGCAGGCCAAGCAGCAUCAUAGGAGCAGAGAGGCUGACGUUUCGGGCCUAGACCCUUCAUCAGGAAAGUAGAUGGCUUUCUCUUUAAGCUGCAGUCGGUACUGAUAUUAGGCGAUAGUUCCGUUCUCGUGUGAUCUUGCGUUACAGGAAUAUCGCGCAAUUGCUGCGCCAUUUAAACUAAUGGGGCCGGAAUCGUAUUAUAGCCAACACAGAGUUUGUAUUCAAGUCCCUGGGUUAGAACCAACAACCUUGUGACUCAGAGCCCUACUUAUCCUCGGAACUAAUUGGCUCCUAGGCUAUUUCAGAGAACAGUUAAGAAUCAGCUACACUGUGCUGGAUCUUCAACACAUAUAGGCCAGAGCAGG